rfam:Ictidomys tridecemlineatus contig085057, whole genome shotgun sequence.
GGGAUUGUAGCUCAGUGGUAGAGCACUUGCUUUGCAUGAGUGAGGAGGCCCUGGGUUCAAUCCUCAGCACCA